UUAGAAGCUUCAAGCUUCAAGCUUUUAAGAAAAAGCUCCAAGCCUAAUAAAAGCAUUGUUUGGUUGAAACAGGCUUAAAGCUUUUAGAUUAGUUGAAAAGCUUUUUUUUUAAACGCUGGUUGCAGCAGCGUUUAAAGAACCUACAAGCUUUUAGGGUUUAAAUUCCAUAAAUAACCUAAAAUCCUAAAAAUCCAGACCGUGCUCCUCCCUAGUUCUCCGACGACUGGCCAGAUCACCAGUGGACCAGGACUCUUCUCUGAUAUCGGCAAGAAAGCCAAAGAUCUGCUAACGAGAGACUACAUAUCGGAGCCGAAGUUUUCUGUUUCAACCAGCAGUGUUUCCGGAGUUAACACAUGAACAUGGAGUAAACAACUUUAUGUGACAAGUGGAAUGUAAAGAGAAAGUUGUGGAGCAAGCAAAAGAAGCAGCAACACAAACUAGCUUAGAUAUUCUAUUGAAGUUGGAUGAAUGUAAAAAUGCAGCGCACCAUGAGAGGAAACAACAGACAAUUUUUGUGAAUUGUGUCAUCUUCACUCGACUAUAAACUGUAUUUUGCAUAUAAUAGAAUGUAUUUUUGUUUCUUUUGUUUUUUUAAA